rnacentral:rRNA from 14 species
GCUAACGUCCGUCGUGAAGAGGGAAACAACCCAGACCGCCAGCUAAGGUCCCUAAAAUUGGCUAAGUGGGAAACGAAGUGGGAAGGCUAAAACAGUCAGGAUGUUGGCUUAGAAGCAGCCAUCAUUUAAAGAAAGCGUAAUAGCUCACUGAUCGAGUCGUCCUGCGCGGAAGAUGUAACGGGGCUCAAACUAGGAGCCGAAGCUGCGGAUUUGAAUUUGUUUUCAAGUGGUAGGGGAGCGUUGUGUAAGCCUGUGCAGGUG